GGGUGAUACAUUGUUACUUCAGGAGUAGGUAUUUCGUCCCUAUUAUUUGGAAUAUGAUCACAUUCAAUCAGUACAGGAAGGUCAAACUUGUCAUUACCAUUGAUUGAUUCCAUGAUGAAACCUCUUCCUCUUUUCCCGGAAGUGACUACUUUGCCGGAGCAUGUUGAUAAAGUAUAGUUCUCCGGUUUAUCUUUGACGUCGAAA
rnacentral:lncRNA from 1 species